rnacentral:rRNA from 1 species
CGUAGGUGGCGAGCGUUGUCCGGAAUUACUGGGUGUAAAGGGCGUGUAGGCGGGGAGAUAAGUCAGAUGUGAAAUUCCAGGGCUCAACCCUGGCGCUGCAUCUGAAACUAUUUCUCUUGAGUGCUGGAGAGGAAAGCGGAAUUCCUAGUGUAGCGGUGAAAUGCGUAGAUAUUAGGAGGAACACCAGUGGCGAAGGCGGCUUUCUGGACAGUAACUGACGCUGAGGCGCGAAAGCGUGGGGAGCAAACAGGAUUAGAUACCCUGGUAGUCCACGCUGUAAACGAUGGAUACUAGGUGUAGGAGGUAUCGACCCCUUCUGUGCCGCAGUUAACACAAUAAGUAUCCCGCCUGGGGAGUACGGCCGCAAGGUUG